rnacentral:rRNA from 1 species
AUUGAACGCUGGCGGCAGGCUUAACACAUGCAAGUCGAGCGGGGGAAGGUAGCUUGCUACCUAACCUAGCGGCGGACGGGUGAGUAAUGCUUAGGAAUCUGCCUAUUAGUGGGGGACAACAUUUCGAAAGGGAUGCUAAUACCGCAUACGCCCUAAGGGGGAAAGCAGGGGAUCUUCGGACCUUGCGCUAAUAGAUGAGCCUAAGUCGGAUUAGCUAGUUGGUGGGGUAAAGGCCUACCAAGGCGACGAUCUGUAGCGGGUCUGAGAGGAUGAUCCGCCACACUGGGACUGAGACACGGCCCAGACUCCUACGGGAGGCAGCAGUGGGGAAUAUUGGACAAUGGGGGGAACCCUGAUCCAGCCAUGCCGCGUGUGUGAAGAAGGCCUUUUGGUUGUAAAGCACUUUAAGCGAGGAGGAGGCUACCGAGAUUAAUACUCUUGGAUAGUGGACGUUACUCGCAGAAUAAGCACCGGCUAACUCUGUGCCAGCCGCCGCGGUAAUAC